rnacentral:lncRNA from 1 species
AGUAAGAAAGAUAAAGGGAAGAAGAGAACAAAUGAGUUAUCCGAGAUAUAUAAACCUAGAAUCUCAUUUUCUUCAGUCCUAGAAGUCGGUUCUUUCUGCAAAAGGUAAGAAGCAUGCAACGAAUCAAGCAACACCCUUCCGACACCCAUUGCAUCAAACUUAACUCCUAAUUCAAAAACUCAAUUUAUAAGUAUUUUAAAAGGACAAAUAGAUAAAAUUCUCACCAAACAAAGGUUUGUGAAUGGGUUCGUAAAUUAUCUUGUUAAAAUUAGAAAGAUAAAACUGACUAAAGAUGGGGUCAUGAACUAUUUUCUAGAGAUUGAUAAUAAAAUACUGA